rnacentral:rRNA from 1 species
GAUGAACGCUGGCGGCGUGCCUAAUACAUGCAAGUCGAGCGAAAAGACGCUGCGCUUGUUCCUUUGACGUUAGCCGCGGACGGGUGUGUAACGCGUGGAUCCCCUACCUAUAUGUCUGGGAUAAUCUCGGAACACCGGAGCUAAUCCGGGAUAAUCUAUUGCACCGUAUGGUUCAAUAGUGAGAGACGGCUUUGCUGUCACUUAUCGCUGGAUCCGCGCCGCAUUAUCUAGUUGGUACGGUAACGGCUUAUCAAGGCAACCAUGCGUAGCCGACCUGUGAGGGUGAUCGGCCACACUGGAACGGAGACACGGUCCAGACGCCUACGGGAGGCAGCAGUAGGGAAUCUGACGCAAUGGGCGAAAGCUUGACGGAGCAACGCCGCGUGAGUGAUGAAGGUCUUCGGAGCGUAAAGCUCUGUUAUGAGGGAAGAACAAAUGUGGAAGUAACUGUGCAGGUCUUGACGGUACCGAAUCAGAAAGCCACGGCUAACUACGUG